GACGAACGCUGGCGGCGUGCUUAACACAUGCAAGUCGAACGGAAAGGCCCUGCUUUUGUGGGGUGCUCGAGUGGCGAACGGGUGAGUAACACGUGAGUAACCUGCCCUUGACUUUGGGAUAACUUCAGGAAACUGGGGCUAAUACCGGAUAGGAGCUCCUGCUGCAUGGUGGGGGUUUGAAAGUUUCGGCGGUUGGCGAUGGACUUGCGGCUUAUCAGCUUGUUGUUGGGGUAGUGGCUUACCAAGGCUUUGACGGGUAGCCGGCCUGAGAGGUUGACCUGCCACAUUGGGACUGAGAUACGGCCCAGACUCCUACGGGAGGCAGCAGUGGGGAAUAUUGCACAAUGGGCGGAAGCCUGAUGCAGCAACGCCGCGUGCGGGAUGACGGCCUUCGGGUUGUAAACCGCUUUCGCCUGUGGCGAAGCGUGAGUGACGGUAAUGGGUAAGGAAGCACCGGCUAACUACGUG
rnacentral:rRNA from 1 species